rnacentral:rRNA from 1 species
GACGAACGCUGGCGGCGUGCUUAACACAUGCAAGUCGAACGGAAAGGCCCUGCUUUUGUGGGGUGCUCGAGUGGCGAACGGGUGAGUAACACGUGAGUAACCUGCCCUUGACUUUGGGAUAACUUCAGGAAACUGGGGCUAAUACCGGAUAGGAGCUCCUGCUGCAUGGUGGGGGUUGGAAAGUUUCGGCGGUUGGGGAUGGACUCGCGGCUUAUCAGCUUGUUGGUGAGGUAGUUGCUUACCAAGGCUGUGACGGGUAGCCGGCCUGAGAGGUUGACCGGCGACAUUGGGACUGAGAGACGGCCCAGACUCCAACGGGAGGCAGUGGUGGGGAGUCUUGCGCAAUGGGCGGAAGCCUGAUACAGAAGCGCCGCGUGCGGGAUGCCGGCCUUCGGGUUGUAAACCGCUUUCGCCUGUGACGAAGCGUGAGUGACGGUAAUGGGUAAAGAAGCACCGGCUAACUACGUG